rnacentral:rRNA from 1 species
UACGUAGGGUGCAAGCGUUAAUCGGAAUUACUGGGCGUAAAGCGUGCGCAGGCGGUGAUGUAAGACAGAUGUGAAAUCCCCGGGCCUCACCUGGGAACUGCAUUUGUGACUGCAUCGCUGGAGUGCGGCAGAGGGGGAUGGAAUUCCGCGUGUAGCAGUGAAAUGCGUAGAUAUGCGGAGGAACACCGAUGGCGAAGGCAAUCCCCUGGGCCUGCACUGACGCUCAUGCACGAAAGCGUGGGGAGCAAACAGG